ensembl:lncRNA
AUGGAUUGCAUCGUGGACAUGCCACAAUGUACUAAAGGAUGGAGCAUUGCCAGCUACUGUCUUGGUCCCAACAGCAGACCUGCAACCCAUGAAAACACAGCAUUAAUGGUGGAUCUGGACCUCCAUCUGACUCACCCUGUCUCUCCCUCCUGCAAGGCCUCACAUGAGGCGAACAGACUGAAUGAAUCCUGCUGCCAGAUUACUUCUGCUCCAUUCCCAUAUCCAUGCCAUAAUGUUUGCCAUCUGAAAGAAUCUGAGGCAAUCCUUUCACCACAGAGGAACCCCACUAAGCGCCCAAUACCCCAUUGA